rnacentral:rRNA from 1 species
CAGAGAUUUCCGAAUGGGGAAACCCAGCAUGAGUUAUGUCAUGUUAUCGAUAUGUGAAUACAUAGCAUAUCAGAAGGCACACCCGGAGAACUGAAACAUCUUAGUACCCGGAGGAAGAGAAAGAAAAUUCGAUUCCCUUAGUAGCGGCGAGCGAAACGGGAAGAGCCCAAACCAACAAGCUUGCUUGUUGGGGUUGUAGGACACUCUAUACGGAGUUACAAAGGACGACAUUAGACGAAUCAUCUGGAAAGAUGAAUCAAAGAAGGUAAUAAUCCUGUAGUCGAAAAUGUUGUCUCUCUUGAGUGGAUCCUGAGUACGACGGAG